ACGAACGCUGGCGGCGUGCUUAAUACAUGCAAGUCGAACGAGGAAAGUCCUUCGGGAUGAGUAUGAGUGGCAGACGGGUGCGUAACACGUGGAUAAUCUUCCCUCAGGAGGGGAAUAACCUACCGAAAGGUGGGCUAAUACCGCAUAAGACCACAGUAACUGAGGUUACAGGGGUUAAAGGUUUUUCGCCUGAGGAUGAGUCUGCGUCCGAUUAGCUAGUUGGUAGGGUAAUGGCCUACCAAGGCGAUGAUCGGUAGCUGGUCUUAGAGGACGACCAGCCACACUGGAACUGAGACACGGUCCAGACUCCUACGGGAGGCAGCAGUAGGGAAUAUUGGGCAAUGGGCGAAAGCCUGACCCAGCGACGCCGCGUGAGCGAUGAAGGCCUUCGGGUUGUAAAGCUCUGUCGUAGAGGACGAUUAUGACGGUACUCUAUAAGAAAGGACCGGCCAACUUCGUGCCAGCAGCCGCGGUAAGACGAGGGGUCCUAGCGUUGUUCGGAAUCACUGGGCGUAAAGCGGGUGUAGGCGGAUUUGUAAGUCAGGUGUGAAAUCCCGAAGCUCAACUUCGGAACUGCAUUUGAUACUGCAAAUCUUGAAUACUAGAGAGGAUAGCAGAAUACCUGGUGUAGUGGUGAAAUACGUAGAUAUCAGGUGGAAUACCGGUGGCGAAGGCGGCUAUCUGGCUAGAUAUUGACGCUGAGAUCCGAAAGCGUGGGGAUCAAACAGGAUUAGAUACCCUGGUAGUCCACGCCUUAAACGAUGGGUACUUGGUGUUGGAGGUUUUGACCCCUUCAGUGCCGAAGCUAACGCGUUAAGUACCCCGCCUGGGAAGUACGGUCGCAAGAUUAAAACUCAAAGAAAUUGACGGGGGCCCGCACAAGCGGUGGAGCAUGUGGUUCAAUUCGAUGCAACGCGAAGAACCUUACCUGGGCUUGACUUCCCAUUGACCGGCUUAGAGAUAAGCCUUUUCUUCGGAACAGUGGAGACAGGUGCUGCAUGGCUGUCGUCAGCUCGUGUCGUGAGAUGUUGGGUUAAGUCCCGCAACGAGCGCAACCCUUGCUUUUAGUUGCCAGCAUUAAGUUGGGCACUCUAAAAGGACUGCCGACGUUAAGUCGGAGGAAGGUGGGGAUGACGUCAAGUCCUCAUGGCCUUUAUGCCCAGGGCUACACACGUGCUACAAUGGUCGAUACAAAGGGAAGCAAAACUGUGAAGUGAAGCAAACCCCAAAAAAUCGAUCCAAGUUCGGAUUGAAGUCUGCAACUCGACUUCAUGAAGGUGGAAUCGCUAGUAAUCGCGAAUCAGAACGUCGCGGUGAAUACGUUCCCGGGCCUUGUACACACCGCCCGUCACACCAUGAAAGCUGGUAGUACCAGACGUCGUCUAGCUAACCGUAAGGAGGCAGACGCCCAAGGUAACACUAGUGAUUGGGGUG
rnacentral:rRNA from 1 species